rnacentral:rRNA from 1 species
AUGGCCGCAAGAAAGAGCUCCCCGACGGUCGUCCUGCGGCGGCCGCCUCCUUCCCCACUUAAUUGGCCGACAGAUCCUCGCCUCCCUUCGCCGGACCCCGUUCCGGAGCAGCCGGCCGCCGCGCCGUUCUUCCUCGGCUCCGACGUCCACGUACAGCCGCUGGUGCCAUUGUGGAGAGCAGCACGCUCCUCCCUGGCGACCAGAUGCGAUGCAGGAAGGAUGGCCCAGCGUCCACGGCGGAGCGCGCUGGCGACGCUGGAACUGCUGCGCACCGCGGCCGGCGACGCCGCGCAGGGAGGCCCUGGCUGCGCCCGUGCUGGCGCGUGCCGUGAAGGGCAUGUCCGGCCCCGGCCACGAGUGAGCCAUCGACGUCCUGGCGGCCAUCUACGGCAGGGAGGCCGUGGGCGCGGUGCACGGCGAGUGCUGCGGCUCAAGGUCACCCAGCUCCUCCGCGCGGCCUCCCCUCAUCACUGCACGUUGCCGUGUGCUCCGGCAGCCGCCGCCUCACUUGCGCGUGCAUGCUCGCGCUGGCUGGCGCAUAGCUCGGGAGCAAGAGCUGCCAGCUCGUCGGCGUGCUCGCCGCGACGGAGUGGUCCGUCCAUCUGCGUCAAGCUCAUCCCCAUGGCUGCAAGAAAGAGCUCGCCGACGGUCGUCCUGAAGCUGUUUGAUGAAAUGCCUCAGAGAAAUAGAGAUGGGAAGAAGAUGACCAUUUACUCAUUGACAGGUGGGGGCCGCAUCUCAUUUGCCACAUCAGUUGGUCAAAGUUUUGGUCUUCGCCACCUCAGCCUGACAAGUGGGCCCAAGAGGUCAGAACGACUGUUUUCACGAGGUUAUGAGACCAUCAGUGCUCCAUGUUAUCGGUGCAGGCGGCGAGUCGAGGUCGCUGUGACGGACGGUGAUAUAUAUCGCUUGAAGCAAGCAGCAUGGAUUGCGUCGCUCAUGUCGCAUCGCGUCAGCGUCUUCUGCCCUUCGUGCCAUUGGCCAACAGAAGCCCAUGGCGAAUGCUCUUCUUCAUGGAUAGUUACGUCCUUUCUUCUCAAAAGUAGACAUAUAGUUACCAAGCGAUCAACUUGGUAA